GCAGUCGAGCGGUAGAGAGAAGCUUGCUUCUCUUGAGAGCGGCGGACGGGUGAGUAAUGCCUAGGAAUCUGCCUGGUAGUGGGGGAUAACGUUCGGAAACGGACGCUAAUACCGCAUACGUCCUACGGGAGAAAGCAGGGGACCUUCGGGCCUUGCGCUAUCAGAUGAGCCUAGGUCGGAUUAGCUAGUUGGUGAGGUAAUGGCUCACCAAGGCGACGAUCCGUAACUGGUCUGAGAGGAUGAUCAGUCACACUGGAACUGAGACACGGUCCAGACUCCUACGGGAGGCAGCAGUGGGGAAUAUUGGACAAUGGGCGAAAGCCUGAUCCAGCCAUGCCGCGUGUGUGAAGAAGGUCUUCGGAUUGUAAAGCACUUUAAGUUGGGAGGAAGGGCAGUUACCUAAUACGUGAUUGUUUUGACGUUACCGACAGAAUAAGCACCGGCUAACUCUGUGCCAGCAGCCGCGGUAAUACAGAGGGUGCAAGCGUUAAUCGGAAUUACUGGGCGUAAAGCGCGCGUAGGUGGUUAGUUAAGUUGGAUGUGAAAUCCCCGGGCUCAACCUGGGAACUGCAUUCAAAACUGACUGACUAGAGUAUGGUAGAG
rnacentral:rRNA from 1 species